rnacentral:rRNA from 1 species
UACGGGGGGAGCAAGCGUUGUUCGGAUUUACUGGGCGUAAAGGGCGCGUAGGCGGCCACCGCAAGUCGACUGUGAAAUCUCCGGGCUUAACCCGGAAAGGUCAGCCGAUACUGCGGGGCUAGAGUGCAGAAGGGGCAACUGGAAUUCUCGGUGUAGCGGUGAAAUGCGUAGAUAUCGAGAGGAACACCUGCGGCGAAGGCGGGUUGCUGGGCUGACACUGACGCUGAGGCGCGAAAGUUAGGGGAGCGAACGGG